rnacentral:lncRNA from 1 species
UCACUUUGUUCCGAACACCUCUAAAUACUUCUAAAACACGCAAUUAACUAUCCCCAUGCUACCAAUUUAAUUCGGGGACAACACAAUUUAUAUUUUAGCAUUACUUUGAUCAAUUUGAUCAAAGUUAGCUUCGUAGUCGGAGAUCGAUAUAUUACAGUAUUAAUCCCUCUCCAGUCGUAGUCGGAGAUUGAUAUAAUUUUUUCUCUGAAAAUACUAAAUAUUUUUAUUUUCUCUCAGAAAAUUGACUGUUUCUGGUUGCAACAAUUAAUCAUAUUAAUAGGUUCCUUUUUUACUUUGAAUUUGAUCUUUUAUUUGUUUUCUCCAAUUUUCCUAUUGUAUAUUACAUUUUAAAUUAAUAUGAAUCUUUUUUAUUAGAAAUUUCUUGUCUCUUUAUCUAUAAUUGAUUGUCUCAGAUUUUGUAAGUUUCUUGGCCUAAUUUUUACGUAUAUACUUACUUUUUUGCAGGUUUUUUUACACUGUUACAGCUAUAAAUUUCGUUGUAUCUAUGGCUGCUGCUGUUGCUAUUUCUUCAGUUGCUUCUGCUUUUUUUUUAUUCAAUUUUUUUCCUCUUAUGUAAUUACCGUUUCUUCUUUCUUUACCUUUUUUCACAAGAUAUCAAAUAUUUCUUCAAGUUAUUUAUACAUCAAAUUUUAUUUUCUUCAGAAAAGAAUUUUAAUAUAAAAACGCAAGUUAAAUAUUGAAUAUUAUCUACCCGCAGUAUUGUGCGGGUCACUGCACUAGUAUAUACUAUGUGAUAAGUACGUAAAGUGCCUCCACAA